UGUGUACUCCCUCCGUUCCAAAAUACUUGACUUCCAUUUGUCCAAAAAUGGAUGUACCUAUAUACUAAAACAUGUCUAGAUACAUAUAUAUUUUGACAAAUAGAAGGCAUGUAUUGUGCAAUAGAGGGAGUAGAAU
rfam:Triticum aestivum genome assembly, contig: Triticum_aestivum_CS42_TGACv1_scaffold_404295_5BL